rnacentral:rRNA from 1 species
UACGUAGGGGGCAAGCGUUGUCCGGAUUUAUUGGGCGUAAAGAGCUCGUAGGCGGUUCGGCAAGUCAGCUGUGAAAUCUCCACGCUCAACGUGGAGGGGUCAGCUGAUACUGCUGUGACUUGAGUCCGGUAGGGGAGUGUGGAAUUCCCGGUGUAGCGGUGAAAAUGCGCAGAUAUCGGGAGGAACACCAGUAGCGAAGGCGGCACUCUGGGCCGGUAUGACGCUGAGGAGCGAAAAGCGUGGGGGAGCAAACAGG